GACGAACGCUGGCGGCGUGCUUUACACAUGCAAGUCGAACGGUGAAGGUGGAGCUUGCUCCGCCGGAUCAGUGGCGAACGGGUGAGUAACACGUGGGCAACCUGCCCCUAACUUUGGGAUAACUACUCGAAAGAGUAGCUAAUACCGGAUAUGAAGUCUGUAGGCAUCUACGGAUUUGGAAAGUUUUUCGGUUAGGGAUGGGCCCGCGGCCUAUCAGCUUGUUGGUGAGGUAGUGGCGCACCAAGGCGACGACGGGUAGCCGGCCUGAGAGGGCGACCGGCCACACUGGGACUGAGACAUGGCCCAGACUCCUACGGGAGGCAGCAGUGGGAAUAUUGCGCAAUGGGCAAAAGCCUGACGCAGCAACGCCGCGUGCGGGAUGAAGGCCUUCGGGUUGUAAACCGCUUUCAGCAGGGAAGAAGCGAAAGUGACGGUACCUGCAGAAGAAGCACCGGCUAACUACGUGCCAGCCGCCGCUGUAA
rnacentral:rRNA from 1 species